CCCCUCUCAGGGUGGCACCUGGAGAGUUUCCAGUCCUCUACCAGUCUCGACUAUGGGAGGGAGAGUCAAGCAGAGGCCUACCCGUCCCAUUCCUAGCUUGGCUAGUGGCUAUUGAGUGGAAGGCCAUCUGCUACAAGU